AUGAACACCGUUUUGUUGACCCCAAAGGGGGGGGGGAUGAACACCGUUCUGCUAUAUAUACAUGUAGUCCUUCACAGUCUUCAUUCACAACUACAAUAAACUUGCAAACAAACAAGCCUCUUCAUUCAGUUGUGAUACUAUUCUUAUUACCAAACAUGGCAGCCUCUCUUUUCAAGUUCAUUGGCUUCCUCUGCAUUGCCCUUGUCCUUUUCUCUUCCACCGAGAAUAGUGUUGCAGAAGCGAAACUGUGUGGAAAACUAAGCAGAACAUUUUCUGGGGCUUGUAUCCGAAACUGUCCGUGCGAUGUUAAAUGCUUGAGAGAAGGUGCUGUGUCGGGAAGCUGUCAUAUUCAUGGUUUUGGACGGGCUUGCUUUUGCUACCGCAAAUGUUGAUCAUAAGGGAAGCUAUGAGCUAUCAUAUCACUACGUGCCUUGAUUCCUCAUGCUCAUAAUAAUCAAGCUACACUAUCAGUUCCUAAUUGUCAUGCUUUAUAAUUAUUAUAAUUAUAACUAUGUGCGUGUGUGAAUAAACGGUGCUUCAGUUAAUUAAUGCACCAUGCACGUACGUGCGCGUCGAAGUUCAUGUGUGUCUUUGUGUUGCGUGUCUGCUUUUCUCGAUCUUUAUUUAUGUUCUUUCUCUUGUUUUCUUUAUUGUCUUCUGUAUGGAUAUGGUAGUGGUGAUCUUCCGGUAUGAAGGAUAUAUUUGGUUGUUUAAAAAUAUCAUCAAUGCUGUAAUUUUAAUCUGUGUCUACUUUAAAAUUUAAAUAUUGUAUGUAUGGUUUUGUAUUGUGAAUUUAUUAA